rnacentral:rRNA from 1 species
UGGGGAAUAUUGGACAAUGGGGGAAACCCUGAUCCAGCGACGCCGCGUGAGUGAAGAAGUAUUUCGGUAUGUAAAGCUCUAUCAGCAGGGAAGAUAAUGACAGUACCUGACUAAGAAGCCCCGGCUAACUACGUGCCAGCAGCCGCGGUAAUACGUAGGGGGCAAGCGUUAUCCGGAUUUACUGGGUGUAAAGGGAGCGUAGGUGGUAAGUCAAGUCAGAUGUGAAAACCCAGGGCUCAACCCUGGGACUGCAUUUGAAACUGGCUUACUAGAGUGCAGGAGAGGUAAGUGGAAUUCCUAGUGUAGCGGUGAAAUGCGUAGAUAUUAGGAGGAACACCAGUGGCGAAGGCGGCUUACUGGACUGUAACUGACACUGAGGCUCGAAAGCGUGGGGAGCAAACA